rnacentral:Y_RNA from 1 species
GGCUGAUCUGAGUGCAGCCAUUUUUUACAACUAAUUGAUCUCAACUAGUUACAGAUUUCUUUGUUUUUUUCUCUAAUCCUAUGGCUUUACUUGACUAGCCUUUU